CCUACGGGUGGCAGCAGUGGGGAAUAUUGCACAAUGGGGGAAACCCUGAUGCAGCGACGCCGCGUGAGUGAAGAAGUAUUUCGGUAUGUAAAGCUCUAUCAGCAGGGAAGAAAAUGACGGUACCUGACUAAGAAGCCCCGGCUAACUACGUGCCAGCAGCCGCGGUAAUACGUAGGGGGCAAGCGUUAACCGGAUUUACUGGGGGUACAGGGAGCGUAGACGGGAGCGCAAGUCUGAAGUGAAAUCCCAUGGCUUAACCAUGGAACUGCUUUGGAAACUGUGCAGCUGGAGUACUGGAGAGGCAGGCGGAAUUCCUAGUGUAGCGGUGAAAUGCGUAGAUAUUAGGAGGAACACCAGUGGCGAAGGCGAUCGGCUGGACAACAACUGACGCUGAGGCGCGAAAGCGUGGGGAGCAAACAGGAUUAGACACCCGUGUAGUC
rnacentral:rRNA from 1 species